rnacentral:lncRNA from 1 species
GUUUUUUACUUUAUAAUUUUGUGGUUUUACGUUUGUCUUUUUCUCUUUUUUGGGAAACUACACGCUGUUCGUUUCACAUUUUUUUUACUUUAAUAUCAUAUAGUUUAAAGUGUAUCAUUUUAGUAUGUUGUAAUUUUAUUUUUUAUUCUUUUCGUCAGUAUCUUCGUUAACUCUUCGUUAAUUUAUAUAUAAAAAACUUCAGAUAUCAUUAGUUUUUUUGAAUAUUCACUUUAGUAUCCUAUGUUUUAUCGAAUUUUCAUUUUAGCAUUCCGUGGUUUUAACUUUAUUACUAAUAUAUCCAAAUAAUUAACGGAGGAAUAAUGAAAAAAGAGAAACAAAAUUAUAGUACUAAGUAAUACAUUUUAAAUUAUAUAAUAUUAAACUGAGGAAGCGCGAAACCACGUAAGUUGUAUUUAAAGCUUUUCUUUUUUUUUCUACUUUUUUUCUCCAUCUUUGUCUUUUUCUUCAUUCUUCUGUUUUCCUCUUUCUUCUUCCUUUCACAUGUUAUGCUAUUUAUACUUGCUAUUUUUAUAAAAUAUAUAUACACACUGUGAGGACGUUCCCAACUCCCCAUACAAUUUUACAUGCUCUCAAUAGUGUGAAUUUUGAGAUAAAAAUAUACCGAACUUAUCUGGACUAUAAACCAUUUUAAGUCAUUUAUCAAACCUUUCAAAAUUUUAAUUUUACUAUUUAAUAUUUUAAUUUAUUUAAUUUGUGUUAUUCAAUAUUUUAAUUUGUUUGAUUUGCAUCAAUCAAUGACGCACUUUGACAGAUUUAGUUAGUAUAUUUUGAGCAGGGCUACUGUGCUCUUAGGAGCACGGAGGCCUUUGUACUCCUGAGCCGUUUUCGAUGAUGGAGUUUCUGAAUCGACGAUCGGCUCCGUUAAACUUAAUUUAGCGUAUUUAAAGUUUCUAGAAAAUAAUUUUUGUGAUUUUUCGAUAUCAUUUACCUAGCAAUCAAAAUGAUUCAAAAUCAAUAAUUUUUAACGGCUGAAAAUAAAAAUCCUAUAAAAAGUGGUGAUAUAGCACGAAAAUUUUCGAUCAAAAAUAUUGAUCUUAUUGUAGAUAGUAUAAAGAAUUUUGUAUCAAAAUUUCGUCUGAUUUGAAUAAUUCUAUACCGUUAAACUUGAAAACAGCAGAUAUCAACCAUUAAAAAUUAUGGAUUUUGAAUCCUUUCGAUCACUAGGUAAAUGAUAUCAAAAAAUCGCAAAAAUUAUUUUCUAGAAACUUUAAAUGCGCUAGAUCAAGUCUAACGGAGCUGAUCGUCGAUUCGAAAAUUUCAUCAUCGAAAACAGCUCAGGAGCACGGAGGCCUCCGUGCUCCUGACAGCAUAGUAGCCCUGCUUAGUAUAUUUUAUAUAAUUCUUACAACUAUAAAUUUAUUUACGAAUAAUUAACUUAAAUUUUGAAGUCAAAGUACUAUUUGCUAACUCAAAAUUAAAAUUAAAAUUUAAAAAUUUAAAUAGCCCACUCAAAAUGAUAUAUAUAGUUUAAAUAAGUUUGGUACAUACUUUUGAUUCAUCCAAUUAUGUGUAGGGAUGUCAACGGGUCGGAUUUGAGUCGGGUUUUUAGAAAUUCGAAUCCGAACUCGAAAACUAAAUUAAAACCCGUAUCCGGACCCGAACCCGGCGAAUUUUAAAAAUUCAUACCCAUAUCCGUACCGACUAAAAACCGGUAACCCGAAUCCGGAUCUGAACCCGGCGAGUUUUAAAAAUUCAUAUCGUUGAAUGAAGUCUAAGAGAUAAAAAUUAUUAAAUAUUUUAUAUAUUAUAUAAAUAAAUAAAAAUAAAUUUAUAUAUAUAUAUAUAUAAAAUUUAUUUGCGUUCGGGUCGGGUUCGGAUAGGGUUCGGAUUCGGAUUUGAGUCAGGUAAAUACAAAAUCCAUACCCGUAUCCAUACCCGUCGGGUUUUUAUUUUUUAUACCUAUAAUCGAAUCUAUACCCGUUUAGCUCGGAUAAAUCUGUCCUAUUCGGGUUCGGCUUUGGAUAAUAUUUCGAAUAUUCAUAUACA